UACGUAGGGUGCGGGCGUUGUCCGGAAUUAUUGGGCGUAAAGAGCUCGUAGGCGGCCAGUUGCGUCCGCUGUGAAAUCCCGGGGCUUAACCCCGGGCGUGCAGUGGAUACGGGCUGGCUGGAGGCAGGCAGGGGAGAACGGAAUUCCUGGUGUAGCGGUGAAAUGCGCAGAUAUCAGGAGGAACACCGGUGGCGAAGGCGGUUCUCUGGGCCUGUACUGACGCUGAGGAGCGAAAGCGUGGGGAGCGAACAGG
rnacentral:rRNA from 1 species